rnacentral:rRNA from 1 species
GGGCACGACACCGGAGAGGGAGCCUGAGAAACGGCUACCACANNNNNNNNNGGCAGCAGGCGCGCAAAUUACCCAAUCCCGACACGGGNAGGUAGUGACGAUAAAUAACAAUACGGGGUUCUUUAGGAUCUCGUAAUUGGAAUGAGUACAAUUUAAAUCUCUUAACGAGGAACAAUUGGAGGGCAAGUCUGGUGCCAGCAGCCGCGGUAAUCCCAGCUCCAAUAGCCUACAUUAAAGUUGUUGCAGUUAAAAAGCUCGUAGUUGAAUUUCGGGGUUAGUAGGUUGGUCAUGCCUCUGGUAUGUACUGGUCUCACUGAUUCCUCCUUCCUUAUGAACCGUAAUGCCAUUAAUUUGGUGUUGCGGGGAAUUUGGCCUGUUACUUUGAAAAAAUUAGAGUGUUUAAAGCAAGCUAACGCUUGAAUACAUAGCAUGGAAUAAUGAAAUAGGACGUUCGAUCUUAUUUUGUUGGUUUCUAGGAUUAACGUAAUGAUUAAUAGGGAUAGUUGGGGGCAUUAGUAUUCAAUUGUCAGAGGUGAAAUUCUUGGAUUUAUUGAAGACUAACUACUGCGAAAGCAUUUGCCAAGGAUGUUUUCAUUAAUCAAGAACGAAAGUUAGGGGAUCGAAGACGAU